rnacentral:rRNA from 1 species
GACGAACGCUGGCGGCGUGCCUAAUACAUGCAAGUCGAGCGAAUCAAAGGGAGCUUGCUCCCUGAGAUUAGCGGCGGACGGGCGAGUAACACGUGGGCAACCUGCCUAUAAGACUGGGAUAACUUCGGGAAACCGGAGCUAAUACCAGAUAAUUCAUAUCUACUCAUGUAGAUAUGCUGAAAGACGGUUUCGGCUGUCACUUAUAGAUGGGCCCGCGGCGCAUUAGCUAGUUGGUGAGGUAACGGCUCACCCAGGGGACGAUGCGUAGCCGACCUGAGAGGGUGAACGGCAACACUGGGACUGAGACACGGACCAGACUCCUACGGGAGGCAGAAGGAGGGAAUCUUCCGCAAUGGACGAAAGUCUGACGGAGCAACGCCGCGUGAGUGAUGAAGGUUUUCGGAUCGUAAAACUCUGUUGUUAGGGAAGAACAAGUACCAGAGUAACUGCUGGUACCUUGACGGUACCUAACCAGAAAGCCACGGCUAACUACGUGCCAGCCGCCGCAGUAAGAC